rnacentral:rRNA from 1 species
CCAGACUCCUACGGGAGGCAGCAGUGGGGAAUAUUGCACAAUGGGCGCAAGCCUGAUGCAGCGACGCCGCGUGAGGGAUGACGGCCUUCGGGUUGUAAACCUCUUUCAGUAGGGAAGAAGCGAAAGUGACGGUACCUGCAGAAGAAGCACCGGCUAACUACGUGCCAGCAGCCGCGGUAAUACGUAGGGUGCGAGCGUUAUCCGGAAUUAUUGGGCGUAAAGAGCUCGUAGGCGGUUUGUCGCGUCUGUCGUGAAAGUCCGGGGCUUAACCCCGGAUCUGCGGUGGGUACGGGCAGACUAGAGUGCAGUAGGGGAGACUGGAAUUCCUGGUGUAGCGGUGGAAUGCGCAGAUAUCAGGAGGAACACCGAUGGCGAAGGCAGGUCUCUGGGCUGUAACUGACGCUGAGGAGCGAAAGCAUGGGGAGCGAACAGGAUUAGAUACCCUGGUAGUCCAUGCCGUAAACGUUGGGCACUAGGUGUGGGGACCAUUCCACGGGUUUCCGCGCCGCAGCUAACGCAUUAAGUGCCCCGCCUGGGGAGUACGGCCGCAAGGCUAAAACUCAAAGGAAUUGACGGGGGCCCGCACAAGCGGCGGAGCAUGCGGAUAAUUCGAUGCAACGCGAAGAA